GAUGAACGCUAGCGGCAGGCCUAAUACAUGCAAGUCGAACGAUAUUUUCCAACUUGCUGGAAGAAAAAGUGGCGCACGGGUGCGUAACGCGUAUGCAACCUACCUUAAUCUGGGGGAUAGCCCGAAGAAAUUCGGAUUAACACCGCAUAACAUCAUUGGAUAGCAUUAUCUGGUGAUCAAAUAUUUAUAGGAUUAAGAUG
rnacentral:rRNA from 1 species